CAGGCAAGUACUGAGUGACUUCAUGAAGACCCCUCCUCCUCCUUUUCCCAAAGCCACAUGUGUCCUUCCUUACUUAACGUCGCGUCUCCUCGCCAUUGACAGGCCCGCUGACAACCAACAUUCGGGGGGGGGGGGGGGGGGGGACAAGUUUUUAGAGAUGUCAACUUCCGACGGUGAAAGCUCAAGGUUCCUUCCUGGAUUCUGGAACAUGGCUACGAGUGUUUCCUGUUUUACUUCCUGAGUGGAGAGACACCAGAAGUGCUCUGGACGGGGAGUAAAGCAGCCCCUUCUCUGUCAACACGGUAUGUAGCACUCCAAUGGCUCUAUCACCAUAGGGCCAGACAGGGGCUGUAUCUCAGCAUGAUUCAUUUAUUAAAUCUUCCUGCCUGUGUGGAAGCAGGAAAGCGACAGGUCGCACGGCAGUAAACAAACACAGCAGAACAGGACGGACACAUUAGCUUUGGAACAGAUAAUACAACCAAACUUCAAGUCGUGACUAAAUGAGGCCAAUCCACGAGGUGACAUAAGAGCGCGACAAAGAGUGUGAGAUGGUCCCUCUUCUAAACCAUCAGCACUUUCUAAUCAGACUUUCAAUUUCAAAAAUAGCACCUUGGAUGUGGUCAUAAAUCUCUCCUCCGAGCGCUCCUGGCUUUUGUGUUUUCCUUUCUCUAAUUGUCCAGUGUCUCUGCAUCGUAAAUCUCUCAGGGAAGAGCCAUUAGCUAAAAUGGCUGGAUGGGAUUCUGGCUGGCAAGUCACUGGCCCCUGUGUUAUACUGUGGAGGAUGUCCUUACAUUGACUCAAGUCACACAGUUGUAUACAAUACCAUCGGCUGGUCAAAUGAUACAAUGUAUUUUUAAAUAGAAUUGCAAAUCUAUUGAAACUGCAAUAAUGUCAGUGGUGUCCUAACUUCCUUGUUAGAUGAUUUCAUAUGUUUUUCCUCUGACUGGGAUUUUGGCAAAACCACAGAAUGUACUGAAAGUUCCAGGAAUUUUGUAAACCUCCUAAUCUGCAUAGAUUGUCCCAACACAGAGGGAAAUAUUUUUUACCGGAACAUUAUCUCCAUUAAAUAAGGAACACUAAAACAGAGCUCUAGAGUCAAGCCCAGACUGUGUCUUGUGGGCUAAACGAGGUCCCUAACAACCUCUGUGUCUUGGUUUCCUCACUGUUUCAGCAGAGCACUAGGUUGCACUGUGUUGUGUGUUUGAGCUGCUAGUAACUGAGUGUGACGGCUAGCUCCGGGAAACCUGUGUGGAAAAGACUUCUCACAAUUGAAUAUCCUGUCUUAAGUGUUUUAGAGGCUUUUGUGUAAAUAAGAAUCAGUCAGUACAGCAGUAAACUGAUUUCCUGUUACACUGGUUAACUGAUGGACAUGAAAAGGGACAUGGGUAAAGGAAUUCACAAUGCCAUACUCUGGCAGGGAAACACGUGGGGCCUGGUUCACAUGCUAUCGGGUUUCUCCUACUUCUCAUUGGUUAAAAUUAGAUCUUGCUUUUAAACAGCACUAAUCGGAUGUCAGAAGCAAGAGAUACAACCAGGCAGUGAUAUACGGUGUAUGCCCCUAUUUCUCUUAGCACUGUUGCCCUUCAAAUGUCCGAUGUUCAGUCGAAAAAAAGACUAUCCCUUUCAUAUCGGUUGCAUGAAAACAUACAGGACUUUUACUGAGAGAGUGGUGUUCAAAUAGCAUCUGAAGGUUAGCUAAUGGGUUUGCUCAGUGUUGUGGCUUCAGGGUGAAUUAUGGCCUAAUGGUGUCAUCAAGCUGACAAGGACCAAACACUGUGGGGUCAUAAUUAGCCAUUAACAUCCUGAGGAAUUGAGGUGAAAAUAAAAUAAAAUAAAUAUGAUAACAGAGUUCUUGUUUUUGUGUUUUAGAUAGAAGGGAACUGAAACAGAUGUGAAAUGUUGCUCUUUCAGGGAUAUUUAGCAUUUGUGCUAAUCGUCUGAAACAAAUUAAAGGCUACUGUACACUUUUUCUGUCAUCUCCCUGCAUCUAUACCGCACACAUCUCUUAUGAACCCGAAUCUCUUCUAUUUUAACUCUGAACAUGGGAGUAAUAGCCUCAUUUAUAUCAUCAUUAGUUUGUGAUGUAAGUGUAGUGAAUUUAUGACUAAGCUUUACAAACCUAGGCAUAAUGUACCUCAUUAUUACUUUGAAUCAUCUUAGAGCUGGAACCAGAGGUACAGAUUAACUUAAUGGUUUCAUUAAAUUGUAUUUGCUUUAAAAUUUGAGUUUAGUGUCAUAUUUAUUACUGUGAAAGGCAUGUCAGCCAAUGCAUGGUGGAUACUAUGGUAAAAUGCAG
rnacentral:lncRNA from 1 species